GAGUUUACCAUGCAAAUAUUUUAUCACACAAUUUUUUCAGACGUUUUAGUUUUUGUUCAGAUAAAAGAGUGGAUACAUUGGCUCGAUUAUAUGGAGUGUAGAAAAGAGCUGAUCUUCCAGUAUUUUUAUUUAUACACCACAAACGUAACAAGGGAUCGUUUAAACGUCAUCAGGACAUAUUAAGCACAAUGAAAUAAUAAUAUAAACUGUAUCGACGUUAUUGUAAUAAAGACUAUUAACGUACAAUGUGAGAAAAGUUAGUAGAUAAUAUAGAAUAGUUGAAAUGACAUAUCUCAAUAGAUUCUACAUUACGUAUUUUAUCCACCACAAAUACAAAAAGAACAGCAUAAAAAAUUUAUUUGUCAGUCUAUGUAAUCUAGAGACUAUGACUAAAUAAAUAUUGUCAGUAUUCUAUAAAGAA